CAAACUUGAAGAACUUGACUGAAUUGAGGAUAACCGAUUUGCGUGGACCGGCCUCUUCUUUUCCAGACCUGAAAAAUAUGACGAACAUAGAACGAUUGGUACUAAGAAAUUGUUUGAUA